rnacentral:rRNA from 1 species
ACGGGGAGCAGCCCAGAGCCUGAAUCAGUGUGUGUGUUAGUGGAAGCGUCUGGAAAGGCGUGCGAUACAGGGUGACAGCCCCGUACACAAAAAUGCACAUAUUGUGAGCUUGAUGAGUAGGGCGGGACACGUGGUAUCCUGUCUGAAUAUGGGGGGACCAUCCUCCAAGGCUAAAUACUCCUGACUGACCGAUAGUGAACCAGUACCGUGAGGGAAAGGCGAAAAGAACCCCGGCGAGGGGAGUGAAAAAGAACCUGAAACCGUGUACGUACAAGCAGUGGGAGCACGCUUAGGCGUGUGACUGCGUACCUUUUGUAUAAUGGGUCAGCGACUUAUAUUCUGUAGCAAGGUUAACCGAAUAGGGGAGCCGAAGGGAAACCGAGUCUUAACUGGGCGUUAAGUUGCAGGGUAUAGACCCGAAACCCGGUGAUCUAGCCAUGGGCAGGUUGAAGGUUGGGUAACACUAACUGGAGGACCGAACCGACUAAUGUUGAAAAAUUAGCGGAUGACUUGUGGCUGGGGGUGAAAGGCCAAUCAAACCGGGAGAUAGCUGGUUCUCCCCGAAAGCUAUUUAGGUAGCGCCUCGUGAAUUCAUCUCCGGGGGUAGAGCACUGUUUCGGCAAGGGGGUCAUCCCGACUUACC